AACCCUAUAAGUGUAAUCUGUAAUCAUAUAUGUUGUAUUGUAACAGCCACCAGAUGGCGCUGAUUGUGAAGGUGAGGCAACCUAUCUAUAGUCUUCUUCGGUUGCUGUUUAGUAACACUUUCACUCCGACUUGACAGUUCUGAUUUACAAUGGAUGUGUUUUUGUAUCUCCUAGAAUACUUCAAACAAGUUUAAACACUAUCAACACUUUGUUAAUUCUCUAACUUCAACAGGUUAUGGACCCAGGUUAACUGAUCUCCGCUUUGUCAGUAGUUGGACUGAUAAAUUGCAUAACAAACUACAAAGAGGAAAAGUGUGAUAAUGGUGAGGGCCUGGGUGAACAUCAAAAAUCAUUCGGAUCUGUUCGACGACAUCAACGAUCGAAUAUUACCUCUACCCGAAAUUCACCUUAUUGGCGCUGUAAGGCAAAGCACUAUGAUAUGGACUAACCAUUUGUCGGCAUGGUAGUGGAUUAAAGGCUCUGCGUUCCCCAUCGCCGUGUCAACCCUGAGCUUGUUUACCUGAACACCAUUGGUUCUUAAUUAACAAGGACAGCAUCCUAGAGGAACUGCUACUUCACACCACCACCUCUCCGAUGCCUUUUUGGGUCAUCUUCUAUAUUGGAAAACGCUUGAGUUUGCUAAUGCUUGUUUUAGCUUACGUCUUAUCUUACCCCUAAAAUGCAAGAUAUUUUAAUUUUUACAACUCGGCAGGCAUUUUCGCCUAACACCCAAUCCUGUCUAUUUAAACAGAUUCAGCCUAAUUUAAGGGAGAGUAUGGCUAGUGUAAAUUUCGUCUUAAUCUGAUUCCAAAUUACGACCGUCAUUACCAGACAAUAUUCCAAAGACACUCUUAUUUUUCUCAAACAUUUUUCCGGCGAAAAUGACUUUCAAAAGACCGACAUAGAGUCUCGCUCUUACUGUUUACUAGAUUCAUUUGAACACAUUCCAUCUCGUCUAUCAUCACCCAAUAGUACGACGAAGGUGAUCGCGACAAACAACUAAAUGUUUCGAUCCCAAAUUUUCUUUUUCGCUGUACUCAACAGAUUUACACAUGCAGUGUUAAAUAAAAAGGAAGUAUCUGAACGAUUUGCAAUAACGAAAA